UCCAGCUUAGGGUCACAGGGGUGUCGACAUAAAACUCCAGGAAAGAGAGCAAUGCUGUGAGAUUACGGUGCUGCCCACUAAGUCGUCUGUUUAUCAGGUGUCCUAUCCAGGGUCUCCCCUACCAUCUGCCCCUGUGCAUUCUGGGAUAUUCUCUAGCCUCACACCAUCUUGUCCUGCAUAAGCCAUAUAGAGCAUGGAUGAAAUGUUUAAUUUCUCUUCUGCUACUCUGGCUUCUCUUAUAAAAAGCCCAUCACGCAGAUCGCACUGAGCCUUUCUGGGGAAAACAACAGCGUCUUUCUGAAACACUGGCCUCCACGCCGCUAACGAAGACCUGGGGGGGGUGUAGUGCAGCUAGCGCAAGUUGUGUCUGUCUCUGAGAAAUCAUUUUGUUGUUUUCCAUUUCUUUUAAGUGUCGUUUGCUGUUCCUUCACACAUCUCAUGAUGCAUAUCAUAUUAUGCCAGCGCCCACUCCCAGUAUUAAUAUUCACACUUGAUUUGUGCUGGUGGUGAUGAGAAUAAAUAUUUGGAUUUAUAUGAUAUAUAGUGAUUAAGCUUUGUAAUGCACAAAGACUUCAUGACAGAUAGGCGCACAGACUGGCCAACAGAUUUUUUCCAGGUGUUUAGGAUCCUAUUUGUUACAAACUGGCAUUUUUUAUAUGCUGCUACAUUGUUUGAGCGGUAUAUUAAUAGGGUGGCAGCUCCAGUGGCUGAACAUGGCUGGUCCUGUACUGAAAAUUCAGUGGCUGUGGGUUCAAAUUUAGAGUUUGGCGAUCAGCGGUCAUUGUUGGCACACCAUAGCACUCAGUGCACAACAAUGAAAUGCAUCCUCUGCAUUUAACCCAUAUGUGACAUAGCAGGGGACAGCUAAUUCAGCACCCAGGUUGCUUGGGGGAGGUACCUUGCUGGUCAGGGAUUCAAACCUGCAAUCUUUCAAUUACGAGUGCACUUCCCUAACCAUUAAGCCACCACUGCCACGAAUCGCAGGCAGCAUGCAUAAACAGUAGUAGCCCUUCCUUGCACUGUCAGUGUGGAUUAAUUGAGUGUUAGGUACAUGAUCCCUUCCAGGGAUGUGGGUCUGAACAGGGAUGUGGGUCUGAACCCCACCUCUACUCUGCAUGUGAAGUUAGCAUAUUCUCUCCAUGUUUGUGUGGGUUUCCUUCCACAGUCCAGAACCAUGUGUUUAGGUGAAUUUGCAUCUCAAAAUUGGCCAUGGUACAGUAUGUGAUUAUGUGUGCUAAAGCAUCAUUACAAUACAUUUUUUAAAUGUAAAACUGUACCCUUAGAGUAGGUUUAGCAUAACAGCCAUGAUGAUGUCAGUGAUAAUUGCGAUGUGUUUUUUUAGUUUGCUGUAUCAACCUGUGGUUGCCUCAAAACAACUGGAUCAGCAUCUGCAAAAUCACCUGGUUUUAAGAUGCAAUUCUUAAAAGUCGUUAAGAUGGAAUUGUAUUACGGGCCCCCAGGUGUCCUUGACUCACUGGACAGUGCUGGGGGUGUUUAAGAAACUCCCAUGCAUUGGGAGGGAGACAAAUCUGUGUAAUUGCUAUAUUAACCUGUGUCCUGCAGCACAAGCAAUAGCACAUAAUACAAAAAUGAAUGAUGUUUUGAAUCCCAGGCCUUUCUUUGUGCAAUAUUUUCUUGGCUGAAGGACCAUUGUACUUGGCAAAGGCGAAAGGGAUCCUCCAUCUGAAUUUCCCAGAGGUCCAACGCUGGAGUGAUGCUAGAUCUCAUGUUGGAUUGCAAUAGCAACUGAUGGUUGCCAUGGAAAUGCAGAUCGCAUCGCAGUCUUCUUUACAACAAGGUUCAGAUAUGAUUGUGCUGUUGAUAGUUAACACUUCUAGGAAGGGGAAGCCUUUUUCCCUUCGAAAUGUAGAAUUAUUGUUUUAAAUAAAAUUUUAUAAAAAUUGG